rnacentral:misc_RNA from 1 species
CAGAAAAGUCGUAAGGCUUUGAGUUCAUCACCCCGUUUCUCUCUCGUGCGCUUCACUCGCGCCAACAAAAAAAGUAGCCGCCACCGUCACACCAUGCAGAUCUUCGUGAAGACGCUGACCGGCAAGACGAUCGCGCUGGAGGUGGAGCCGAGCGACACGAUCGAGAACGUGAAGGCGAAGAUCCAGGACAAGGAGGGCAUCCCGCCGGACCAGCAGCGACUGAUCUUCGCCGGCAAGCAGCUGGAGGAGGGCCGCACGCUCUCGGACUACAACAUCCAGAAGGAGUCCACGCUGCAUCUGGUGCUGCGCCUGCGCGGCGGCGUGAUGGAGCCGACGCUGGUCGCGCUGGCCAAGAAGUUCAACUGGGAGAAGAAGGUGUGCCGCCGUUGUUAUGCCCGCCUGCCGGUGCGCGCCACGAACUGCCGCAAGAAGGCCUGCGGUCACUGCUCCAACCUGCGCAUGAAGAAGAAGCUGCGCUAGGCGGCGAUGGCUGUGCUGUAGCGUCCCCCGCCUCCCCACCCAUUCCUCCAAUCUUCCUUUACGCUUCGUGCUGGCCACGCCAUUCCCGUCUUCCCUACCAGCGCUUAUAGCGCGCGCGCUCUCUAUCUGUAUGGUGCAGUGGUCCUGACGUGACUGAGCAGGUCUGGCGUGUUGAACGACAGAGGCAGAGGCGAGAAGGUUCAAGCGAAGAUGACGUGAGGUGCGGACGUAUAUACUUGUGAGUGUGUGUGUGUGUGUUGACCGCUGCUCCGCACUACGCGAUUGGGCCCUGUCGCGGGGCCGGUGAGUAGAGAGGAACUCUUGAUGCAGGGCAGAGAGCAACGGGCACAACACACACAACAGGAAAGAGUGCAUGGUUUACUUCGCGAAGACCACUGAGCAAGAGGCGGAGGAGGAGAGAGACACACACACACAUCGAGAUAGCUGCAUGCGCUUCGGCACUGCUCGAUGCGAGUGAGUGUCUCGUGAGUUGUACCUCCGCUUCUUUGCCCAGACUUCCCACCUUCCCUCGGCCUU